UACGAAGGGGGCUAGCGUUGUUCGGAAUUACUGGGCGUAAAGGGCGCGUAGGCGGCGUGACAAGUCACUUGUGAAAUCUCUGAGCUUAACUCAGAACGGCCAAGUGAUACUGUUGUGCUAGAGUGCAGAAAGGGCAAUCGGAAUUCUUGGUGUAGCGGUGAAAUGCGUAGAUAUCAAGAGGAACACCUGAGGCGAAGGCGGCAUCCUGGACCGGCAUUGACGCUGAUGAGCGAAAGCUAGGGGAGCAAACGGG
rnacentral:rRNA from 1 species